UCUUGAAAUAGCAUCUCAGGAACUAGUUUUGAAAUGCUUGUCUGAAAUCCUUUUCUUUCUCCUUGAAUGUGUCUGAACUGCUCCUCAAUUUAGGAACUUCUGAUUCAGUUGAUUGGUGUCCUGACUAUAAUCCUGCCCAGAGCACCGUGUAAAUCUUCCAGUGGACCGUUCUUCAGGCAGGAAGUAGAGGUGCUAUGACAACAGCCUCUAAAAGCCACUGUGCCUGACUGGCUGUGGUGCUCAGUGCUGCGGAAGGUGCCGGGGGAGGUGGGGAGGUGAAAAGGUUUCUCUUUAACUCUGAACUAAGCACUAGGCACAAAACUGUUCUGUUGAUUCAAGAUGCUGUAACAUCCUGACAUGGAUGAAAUUUGACCUGGCCAAGAGUGAGAACAAGGCUCCCCAUCACAUACGGGAAGGUGAAGCGUUCAGGCAGCUUGGCAGAAACUCAAGGGAACAGAAGAAUUAAGUGUAUUUUUUUUGGUGAAGUUUUGAGAUCCCUGUACAAAGUUUUGGAUUUGAGGAGAGCCCUUAAGACCUUCUAUCAACCUUGUCAAUCAAAUAAAUUGAUGAAUCAUUCAGAGCUAAGGCUACAAGCAGUCCUGCAUAGCAACUUCUGAGGUGAGUUCCUGGCUUUCUUGAUUACUGCAUGCAGACAAAACCUCUUCAUGGCUGUGGGUCACUGCUGAAGGAAUUCAAAACAAGGGAAAUUAAAGCUCAUCCACCUCAGCUUUUGUGAUUGCUCUUAGGAAGAUGUGAG
rnacentral:lncRNA from 13 species